GAUUAAGAAAUCUGCUUCUCCUUUCACAAGUGGCCAUCAAGAACAGCUGGUUUUCUAAGAGGCUUCCGAGAUUUGAAAAACGGUGGCUAAUGAUGACAACAGCAACAGCACUGAGCACAGAAAACUCCACAGGCCUGGGCUCGGCUUAUCGCACAGCCUCCAUCUCUGGAUGCCCUGAUUCAAGGAGAUUCAAAACCCGUGUCACUGCUGCCAUCUUCCUUGAAUCCCCUUAAAUCCUCAUGGAUUUGCUGACAUUGGGAGCAUCCUGAAAGAGUCCCCAUGCUAGGGUGGCUGCAGUAACAGGUUCUCCCCACUCCAGAAAAAAUCAAAUCAGAUUGUGAAUUUAUUCCCUGACAUUAACACAUGGCAUUACAGGAGCAUGUACAUCACAUGGUCAAUUUAUUGGCAUGAGGAUUAUGUCAUCAGGGAAUAAAUGGGAAAUUCUCAAGGGCUACAUAAAAUAGGAGCAGGGCUCCAGGAAAAGCAAUUGUGAUGUGUGGUCCACGCUGCAUACUUAGAGCCAAGAGUAGGUUAAGUCUCAACUCUGCUACUUUUUAGAGAGGGAAACUGAAGCUCAGAAAGGCUGAAUGGUUUGCUCAUGGAACACACAGCGUGCAAGCAGCAUAUGCCCACGAUCGCCAAGGCCUCAGCCGCUCCACCGGCAUGCACGGAGGCUCUUCCUGUUUCCCACGCACCUGGCUGGAGGCCUCUCAGGGUGCAAAGGACCUCAAAGGAAGGUGCCUGGCUCAGCGGGGAUGCAGGGGCUUCCUGGAGGAGAGGACUCUUGGCCAAGGCUGGAACCAUGCACAGGAGUUGAGAAGGAAGGAAAGAGGAGGGGGCUUCCAGGAGGGCAGGCUGGAGGGGGCAGAGAUUGUGGCCUCUGUGGGGUUAGGUGAGGCUGGAAUAGGGGAAAUAACAAAGAGGGGAGCUAAGAAAUGUGUUUCAUCCAAAGACAAGUGGGAGCCAUGGACGGUUUUCAGUAGGGGAAUAAAAGGGUCAGCUGGUCUUGAGAUGGUCCCAGCAGGCAAUGACCAAGUGCAGGGAGACUGUAGGAGGCACCACGGAAUCCAAGGGAGAGGACGGGGCCUGCAAUGGGCGGUAACCCUGGGCUGGGAGGAAGCAUGGCCCCAAGAGCUGGUUAGGAGGGGAUGUGGGGACUAAUUGCAUGUGGGGUUCAGGGAAAGUUCAGGUAGGCACCGCAUUCCUGGUGUACGUGCGGAGAAGUGACCCAGCAGAGGUGGCGGGCGGGCUUGACCACUGAGCUGAGCUGUCUGUGCUGAGCAGGCAUCUGGAUUCCAGUCGGGACUCAGGACAGAAACCAGACUGCUGGUCUGGGUUUGGGAGUCACUGGCAGGUGUGGUGAGACUGGCUGAACCUUUUGGAAUGGAUGAAUAUGCCCAAGAGAAUGUUCAGAGGGUCAGGAGAGAAACAGGCCCAGGGCAGGCUCAGGUAGUGCCAACUGUUGGGAUCUCAUCGUGCAGCUUCAGCUGCAGGAAGCUUGAAGCCCGGGGACUGAGUGGGGCAAGGGCAGUUCAGACUGAAGGAAGGAAAGUGCAUGGCCAGGCGGGACCCAAGACCAAGAGGGACUCUACUUACCAAGGAUGGGGACUUUUCUGCUUUGCUCUCCUGUAGUAGAAACAUGGGGGAAGCUGCCCGACCCUACAGAGACAAGAGUUUCCUGCCAGGGAGGGCCCAGAUGUGAGUCAGCUGCGGGGAGGGAUAGCCUUGGCUGUGGGGGCUGCUUCCAAGGUCAGCAGGCAAAAGCGUUAAAGGCCUCCCGAGCCCCAGCCCUCCAGCGCUGCCUGCCCUCUUGUGAACACUCCGGUUUCUUAGGGAAGCCUCUCAUGGGCACGGGUAGUCACCGAUGCUCUGGCUUUCCUGGAACAGCCUGACUUUCAAAACAUUUUAGAUUUUUCUGUAGGAUUGGGUUCAUCAGCUGUAUAACUAAAUGUGAUGCAUUUCUAUUUCUACGUAACACUUUGUACACAAUGUUUUUAUGUUAACCAACAUGACUGAACC